rnacentral:tRNA from 1 species
GGGCCGGUCGUCUAGUUGGCUAGGAUACUAAGCAGCCUGAACGCCGCCUGACGCGCGGCGGGUCCCCGGUUCGAGUCCGGGCCGGCCCA